GACGAACGCUGGCGGCGUGGAUUAGGCAUGCAAGUCGAACGGUAUCAUCCUUUCGGGGGUGAGAGAGUGGCGAACUGGUGAGUAACACGUAGGUUAUCUACCCUCAAGACGGGGACAACCCAGGGAAACUUGGGCUAAUACCGGAUGUGAGCAACUUUUAGUUGUUUGAAAGGUGGCGUAAGCUGUCGCUUGGGGAUGAGCCUGCGUCCUAUUAGUUAGUUGGUGAGGUAACGGCUCACCUAGGCAAUGAUAGGUAGGCGGCCUUAACGGGUGGUCGCCCACACUGGGAUUGAGAUACGGCCCAGACUCCUACGGGAGGCAGCAGUCGAGAAUAGUCUACAAUGGUCGGAAGACUGAUAGUGCGACGCCGCGUGAACGAUGAAUCCCUUCGGGGUGUAAAGUUCUUUUAUAUGUGAGCAGUGCUUCUUAUAUUAACAGUAUGGGGAGAGAGAUAUUAGCAUAUGAAUAAGCAACGGCUAACUCCGUGCCAGCAGCCGGGUAAAACGU
rnacentral:rRNA from 1 species